rnacentral:rRNA from 1 species
CCUANGGGGGGCAGCAGUCUAGAGGCUUCGGCAAUGGGGGAAACCCUGACCGAGCGACGCCGCGUGUGGGAUGAAGGCGUUUUCGUUGUAAACCACUGUGUAAGGGGAAGAAUGCCCGGAUGGCGAAUCCGGGAGCGACGGUACCUUUACAGAAAGCCCCGGCUAACUCCGUGCCAGCAGCCGCGGUAAUACGGGGGGGGCAAGCGUUGUUCGGAUUUACUGGGCGUAAAGGGAGUGUAGGCGGUUGGUCAAGUCGGAUGUGAAAGCUUCACCACUUAACGGGAAGAGGUCAUCCGAAACUGGCCGGCUAGAGUAGGGUAGAGGCAAGCGGAAUUCCUGGUGUAGCGGUGGAAUGUGUAGAUAUCAGGAAGAACAUCGGUGGCGAAGGCGGCUUGCUGGGCCCUUACUGACGCUGAGACUCGAAAGCGUGGGGAGCAAACGGGAUUAGAUACCCGUNUANUC